CUGCCCGCCUCAGCCUUCCAAAGUGCUAGGAUUACAGGUCCCCCUAGGUUUUUAACAGGCAUGGUGUACAAGGACCAACAGUAAACAUUACUGCCUAACAAAUCAUUUCUCGUUGCAACUGACACUAGGACAACAUUGUUGAUUAAAGUGCUGAUACCAUUUAAUUACAGAUUGUUUAGAAAUAUGGAAAUAGGAUGGCUACAAAGGACUCUUCUCACUUCAAAGGACUCUUCUCACUUUAAAAGCAGCUGACACAUUUGGAAAUGAGAGAACUGAACCAUUGUGGUUAGGAGAAGAGGGUCAGCACGUGGCAGGCAGCAUCGCAUGUGGUCUUCCCUUCCUGGUUCCCCAGUAGGGACCCUGCAGCCACCGGCUACCCCAUCCUCCCAGCUCUCCUUCAAAAUCAGAAUAUAUCAGGUUUCUAAGCAGAAAAUCAACUCAGUACUACUAGUUAACUUAAAAAAAAAAAA